GCAGUCAUGGCUCAAUGGUUGAGGAUCUGGGUUUGUGAUCAGAAGGUCAGGGGUUCAAGCCCCAGCACUGCC